ACUGUUAUUAGCAUAAUAUAAUUAAUCUGGGCUGGGGCUACCAUACUCUUACGGGUACAGACCCUCUUGUACUAUUAAAUUUUUAACCGUUGAUUGAUAGAAUGGGUGGUUAGGAUGAUGGUGGUCCCCACUUAGAAUGAUAGUAGUUCUCUAGGAUUGAGUGAGUAGUUGGUUAAAUAGUAUGAUAUAACAGGUAGAAAUGAUCAAUGAAAUAAAUUUAAGAGCCAAAAAUUUAUGAGUAUAAGAAAGUCAAUACUCAUAAAAGUAUAGUAGCCGAACUCUAAUUAUCUUAUCUUUAUUGGAUACUAUUUUGUUAUAGUAUAUAGCUGUAGUAA
rnacentral:lncRNA from 1 species